CCCUGGUUAGCUCAGUUGGUAGAGCGCUCCACCUGUAAUGGAGAGGUCCCGGGUUCGAUACCCGGGCCAGGCG
rfam:Ixodes scapularis strain Wikel colony gcontig_1107728664116, whole genome shotgun sequence.